AGUAUUAGUUUAUAUAAAACGUAAAAGUGCAAAUUUUAAAAGCCUCGGAUACUA
rnacentral:tRNA from 1 species